AUGAAGGCAGGCCACCAGGCUGAUGGGCAGACACUUCAGACUGAAGUACAGACGGCAGUACCACUAAGAAGAAAUGGUGACCGAGCUGUGCAAGUGAACCAGGACAAUCCAAAAAAUUCAGAAGGCGUCUGUGAGCGGCCGGGCAGGACUAGCACAGGAGAGGUGCUUCUGGUACCUGCUGCCUCUCGCCUGGGGCUUGUGCCAGCAAGGAGCCGAGGUGCCGGCUUCACAUCACACCUGGGCUCGAUUUCGGAUGCUUCUCCUGGCAACGCAGGGGAUACGCAUUAUCUUCAUCUUACCUGGAAACCUAAGAGGAAUUUUAUGGCCCUUGAAAGCGGGAUGAGUGCUGUUUGUCUCGUGGUUUUACAGCCUGGUGUAAACAGAGCACUGCUCCAGCCUGGAAAUGCAGGUGAAUAUAUUCCCCAGCAAACUCCCAACGCAAUUCCUUCCUUGCAAAAAGUGCUGAUGGCACACGGGCCAUUAGGGAAAUCUGUAAGGAGUCUCUGAAGUGUGAUACAAUGAUUAAUAGGACAGUCAGCAAGCGGCUGUGAUACGGUGAUGAAUGGCAGAAUCAGCACGCCACUGUAACAGUUCUAAUGCAGGUUUGUGGUGUGUUGCAGUACCUCAGACACAAUCCUGUUUGUUCCUUAGUCUAACCAUUCAGUGCUGUGCAUCAGUUUUGUUUCCUCUCUGUGUUACUAUCCUUAUGAUUACUUCCAGAAUUCCUUCAAUUACUUAUUUUUUCCCCAAACAUAAGCUCUAAUUCAGGAUGUUACCAAUUUUACACCAAAAUACAAAGGUAACGCAGCAGAAAUGUAUUUUAAGCUUCACAUCAGAGUUCAGCAGUGUCCAUGCAGCGUGCACUCUUCUGGAACAGGCAGUACUGAGCUGGUUUUGAAUAUUUUUAAAAGCACGUAGAUGCCCAGCUUUGUGUCUCUGUGCUGGAUUUUUGCCCUUGGGUGUGGAACCUGCUGUCUGGGCCGGAGUUAGGAAAUGCUCCCUACAUCUGCUGUGAGCAAGUGUUGGGUGUAGGACGGCUCAGUCUCACCACAGUAGGAAUGGGACUUCCAACCGAGACUGGGGGAAAGCUUUGGGGAUUACGAGGAUGGCAGGGCUGUGAUGUAAUCCCCAUUAUUUCGGGAAUCAAACCACUUUCAGGGCACCUCGCUUGUGAUGUGUUAGAGCAGCGUCUGGGCACCAGUAAUUCUGAUGG
rnacentral:lncRNA from 1 species